GAGAAAAUACGUCUCCCUUAGAGUCCCACGGAAAGGUUCUCAGUGCGCUCUCUAUCAAGCCAAUUCUGAAGCGCUGAGCAGAGAUCUGCCUGGGAGGAGAGCAGAGGCGAUCUCUGAGAGCUGACACGGGAGCUCUGGUGAGGACAGCUGCUCCCCUGCCUCGGUGUGGGACCUGCUGAGCUGCCGUUCCUGUGGUGGGAGUGUUUCUCCUCUCAUCCAGGCAAGCCAGAGACCUCCUAGGGAAGGGGCAGACUCAUCACGGCGGGACAGCGUGAGGACUGAAAGUGUAAGAAGAUGUGGAGGGAAACAGAGAAUCUGACAGGAGCAGCGAACGCACG